rnacentral:rRNA from 1 species
CCUACGGGAGGCAGCAGUCGAGAAUCAUUCACAAUGGGGGAAACCCUGAUGGUGCGACGCCGCGUGGGGGAAUGAAGGUCUUCGGAUUGUAAACCCCUGUCAUGUGGGAGCAAAUUAAAAAGAUCGUACCACAAGAGGAAGAGACGGCUAACUCUGUGCCAGCAGCCGCGGUAAUACAGAGGUCUCAAGCGUUGUUCGGAAUCACUGGGCGUAAAGCGUGCGUAGGCUGUUUCGUAAGUCGUGUGUGAAAGGCGCGGGCUCAACCCGCGGACGGCACAUGAUACUGCGAGACUAGAGUAAGGGAGGGGGAACCGGAAUUCUCGGUGUAGCAGUGAAAUGCGUAGAUAUCGAGAGGAACACUCGUGGCGAAGACGGGUUCCUGGACAUUAACUGACGCUGAGGCACGAAGGCCAGGGGAGCGAAAGGGAUUAGAUACCCGGGUAGUC